GAGUCUAAGGUGGCUAAAAAGGACAAAGGUCUAAAUUUUAGACUAUUGUUUAACUGUCCUUGUUUUAAGAAGUUUUAUCCUCAGAAAAUAUAUAAUAAAAUGCUCCGCUGGGGCGCAGCUUGAUACGACCGCAGAGGUCAAACCCUUAACAGUUGGGGCAAGUAAAGCCACAACAUUCAAGCUUGAUACAGCUCUGAAUUUGGAUUGUGAUUAAAUAUUUGACACAACAUA